rnacentral:lncRNA from 10 species
GCUGGGCGUGGUGGGGGGUGCCUGUAGUCCCAGCUACUCAGGAGGCUGAGGCAGGAGAAUGGCUUGAACCUGGGAGGCGGAGUUUGCAGUGAGCCAAGAUUGUGCCACUGCACUCCAGCCUGGGUGACGGAGUGAGACUCCGUCUCAAAAAAAAAAAGACUGGCUCUUUCUCUGUUGCCCAGGCUGGAGUGCAGUGGAGCAAACACAGCUCACUGCAGCCACCACCUCCUGGGAUCAAACAAUCCUCCUGCC